rnacentral:rRNA from 1 species
GACGAACCGUGCGAACGUUGUUCGGAUUCACUGGGCUUAAAGGGCGCGUAGGCGGACGGUCAAGUCAGGGGUGAAAUCUUUCAGCUCAACUGGAAAAGUGCCUCUGAUACUGAUCGUCUCGAGGGAGGUAGGGGCAUGUGGAACUUCCGGUGGAGCGGUGAAAUGCGUAGAUAUCGGAAGGAACGCCGGUGGCGAAAGCGACGUGCUGGACCUCUUCUGACGCUGAGGCGCGAAAGCCAGGGAGCGAACGGG